rnacentral:rRNA from 1 species
UACAGAGGUCUCAACCGUUGUUCGGAUUCAUUGGGCGUAAAGGGUGCGUAGGCGGCGGGGCAAGUCAGGUGUGAAAUCUCGGGGCUCAACCCCGAAACUGCACUUGAUACUGCCUUGCUCGAGUACUGGAGAGGAGACUGGAAUUUACGGUGUAGCGGUGAAAUGCGUAGAUAUCGUGAGGAAGACCAGUGGCGAAGGCGGAUCUCUGGACAGUUCCUGACGCUGAGGCGCGAAGGCCAGGGGAGCAAACGGG